rnacentral:rRNA from 1 species
AACGAACGCUGGCGGCAUGCCUAACACAUGCAAGUCGAACGAGACCUUCGGGUCUAGUGGCGCACGGGUGCGUAACGCGUGGGAAUCUGCCCUUGGGUUCGGAAUGACAGUUAGAAAUGACUGCUAAUACCGGAUGAUGACUUCGGUCCAAAGAUUUAUCGCCCAAGGAUGAGCCCGCGUCGGAUUAGCUUGUUGGUGAGGUAAAAGCUCACCAAGGCGACGAUCCGUAGCUGGUCUGAGAGGAUGAUCAGCCACACUGGGACUGAGACACGGCCCAGACUCCUACGGGAGGCAGCAGUGGGGAAUAUUGGACAAUGGGCGAAAGCCUGAUCCAGCAAUGCCGCGUGAGUGAUGAAGGCCUUAGGGUUGUAAAGCUCUUUUACCCGGGAUGAUAAUGACAGUACCGGGAGAAUAAGCCCCGGCUAACUCCGUGCCAGCCGCCGCGGUAAGAC